AGCUGGACCACCUGUCAGCCGCAGCGUUUUUUGCUACGCAGCCACUGCAUGGAAGGAAUCCUCAUUUUUGACCGGUUUUGUGGACUUACCAUUGGCCUGUGGGAGAACUGGGACAACAGAGACUCGGCAUACCGUUUAUCCAGGAGUUUUGUUCUCAAACAAUACGGACACUGGUUGAGCCGUUCCUGUUCGUCGUGACUGACUGCUCGCUGUUGCGAAAAAGUUAAGUAUCGUUCUGUGUGCUUUUCAUUGUUUUUCAGCUUUCUUUACUACUUCACAAACAUACUUUGUAGUCCUAUUUAACUUACAAAUCACCCGAUCUCUGUCUCACCCACCCCUCACUCAGCGAGCUAGCUGCUAAGCUAACGAAGCUAGCGCGGAGAAGGCGGCGCCGGUCUAAAGGAAUCUGCCCUCGCAUACCGUGACCACUUCCCUAAAGACAUCAGGAACUUCACUCGGUGACAGAAAAUACCGUGAGUAUGACUCCCUGCGCUUAGUACACCGUUCUCAUGGAUAGGCUGGCUCUGCUAGAGGGCCGUGUACGCCAGUUAGAGCAGAAUAAUCUCGUAACUUUAGAUGUUGUGGACACAUCUGCUAGCGUUAGCUGUAGCGAGCUAACUAGCCCAGCUUGUAGCAGCUCUAAGCGGCCUAUAAGCAACGGUGAACCGGUUGAGAUGCAUAAUAGAUUCAAACCCUUUAGCUAGUACUACACCCCAGUCUACCGGGCACCAGACCUUAGUCAUAGGAGACUCCAUCACCCGAAACAUAAAGCUUAGCAAACCAGCCACAAUUAAGUGUAUUCCCGGGGCCAGAGCACCUGACAUUGAAGCUAAUCGUAGGGAGCUAACUUGCAACAGGCCUAGUAAACCCGUAUGACGGGCUAAUCGUACCACUAGUUAUGCGAACAUAGUUGUACACGUUGGCUCCAAUGACACUAGGAUGAGAUAGUCAGAGAUUAAUCAAUCAAUCAAUGUUUAUUUAUAUAGCCCCAAAUCACAAAUGUCUCAAAGGACUGCACAAAUCAUUACGACUACAACAUCCUCGGAAGAACCCACAAAAGGGCAAGGAAAACUCACACCCAGUGGGCAGGGAGAAUUCACAUUCAGUGGGACGCCAGCGACAAUGCUGACUAUGAGAAACCUUGGAGAGGACCUCAGA